AGCCCCGCCCCUCUCUUUUGACCAAUAGCCGUUUCCCAGCGGCCCCUGCGGCAGUCCUCUUUUCUCCUAUUUCCCAGAGGCCGCUUUGAGAACGCGAACGCUUACUCGGAAGUUUCCUGCUGAAGGCAUGGAGGAAGAGGACUGGGAUAUAGGGGAGAAGCUACAGGUCGUUAAGGAAGAGGUCGAAGCAGAGAGCAGCGGCGGCGGUGGAGAGGAUGAGGAUGACGAAGAGGAGGCGCUGCCUCACGCCGAGGUGGUGGACGUAUUUCAAGAGGGACUCGCCAUGAUUGUUCAGGAUCCACUGCUCUGUGACCUGCCUAUCCAAGUCACGUUGGAGGAGAUAAAUUCUCAGAUAGCCCUGGAAUAUGGCCAAGCCAUGACUGUCAGAGUGUGCAAAGUGGAUGGAGAAGUGAUGCCUGUUGUCGUGGUGCAAAAUGCUACAACCCUGGACCUGAAGAAGGCUAUCCAGAGAUAUGUGCAACUCAAACAGGAGAGAGAGGGAGGCAUACAGCAUAUCAGCUGGUCAUAUAUAUGGAGAACAUAUCAUCUCACUUUUGCUGGAGAGAAGCUAACUGAAGAUGGAAAGAAGCUCCGAGAGUACGGCAUCCGAAACAGAGAUGAGGUCUCCUUUAUCAAGAAGCUGAGGAACAAAUGAGCCUUCUGAAGAAAGAAGGAUGCAGGAGGCUGCCAGGAUAGAUCAUCUUCUCAUUCAGGAAACAUGUGAGUCACGGUGAGAUGAGGCAGGGCCAGGCUGGACUGCCGAGAGCAGAAGUCUGGGAGGUGGGCAAGAUUGGCCAGUGGGAUGGGACUGGGUCUGUCCCCACCUGGGGGAAAGGGAGACACAGCUCCUAGCUCCAGUCCAGCACCACUGUCCCCUCCCUUCCAAGUUCCACCUCCCAUGGCCCUGGAUCAGUGGAGCUGAGCAUCCAAUUCAUAUUUCUCACAAAACUUGUCUGUGAAGGGGAUGCAUGUGAGGAACUCGCACCACUCACAGCGGAUCGGGUAGAAGUAGAAGAGGAUCACCAGACCAGAGAGGAGCCCCAGGAAAAUGAUCUGGAAGACGAUGAUCUGGCACCGCUUGCGAUACAGGUCAAACUUGCCGAAGCUGAUGUAGGGCAAGAAGGCAAAGGAAAGAAAGAAGCCACUGAUGAACCCAGAGAUGUGGGCAAAAUUGUCGAUCCAGGGCAGGAGGCCAAAGGUGAAGAGGAACAGCACCACAGCCAGAAGCUUGAAGAAGGCUCGCCAAGGCUGAGCCAGGAUCUGCCAGCUCUGGAACAGCUCCACAAACAGGCAGGCAAGGAUGCCAAACUGGGAACCAGCGGGGCCAACCUGCAAGAAGGGAAAUGAUGAGAAGGGGGAGCUGCUGGGGUAGCCCACUAGGGGAAGAGAUGGGGCCAAGACUAAAAAUGAAAAGAUGGGGUAAGGGAGAGGGACUGGAACAGAUUGGGCUCAGAAGUGCCCUAGCAAACAGGCUUGUUAAAGGCCUGUUUCUUUCUAGAGUACCUUUAGACUCAAACUCCCAGUCUGCUCACUGUCCCAUCACCUCUUACAAGAAGUCUUUCCUCUGUGAAUUGUUUCCUAUUCGUCCUAGAUAGUUUGUUUAUACAUAGUAGCCUACAUAUUGCAUCCCCAAUUAGACCAGGAAUUCUGCCUUAACUUAAUGCUAAGCAUAGUGCCUGGAACACAGUAAACCCUUUAUUUACAGACUGACUAACCACAAUUUUCAAAGGAACCAAGAAUUUGAUUGGUUCAAGUUUCUUGAUUGGACGGUUCUAGAUUAUCUUGAAUAAACCUGAAAUGUUCCACUUUAAAA